GAAUAUGAAGCGAUUUAUUGCAUUUAGUUUCGACCUAAUAUUAGGUAUAAUUACCCUUAUUCU
rnacentral:tRNA from 1 species